rnacentral:rRNA from 1 species
AACGAACGCUGGCGGCAGGCUUAACACAUGCAAGUCGAACGCCCCGCAAGGGGAGUGGCAGACGGGUGAGUAACGCGUGGGAAUCUACCCAGUUCUACGGAAUAACCCAGGGAAACUUGGACUAAUACCGUAUACGCCCUACGGGGGAAAGAUUUAUCGGAAUUGGAUGAGCCCGCGUUGGAUUAGCUAGUUGGUGGGGUAAUGGCCUACCAAGGCGACGAUCCAUAGCUGGUCUGAGAGGAUGAUCAGCCACACUGGGACUGAGACACGGCCCAGACUCCUACGGGAGGCAGCAGUGGGGAAUAUUGGACAAUGGGCGAAAGCCUGAUCCAGCUAUGCCGCGUGAGUGAUGAAGGCCUUAGGGUUGUAAAGCUCUUUCAGUGGGGAAGAUAAUGACGGUACCCACAGAAGAAGCCCCGGCUAACUUCGUGCCAGCCGCCGCCGUAAAAC